rnacentral:rRNA from 1 species
UACAGAGGGUGCAAGCGUUAAUCGGAAUUACUGGGCGUAAAGCGCGCGUAGGUGGUUCGUUAAGUUGGAUGUGAAAUCCCCGGGCUCAACCUGGGAACUGCAUUCAAAACUGUCGAGCUAGAGUAUGGUAGAGGGUGGUGGAAUUUCCUGUGUAGCGGUGAAAUGCGUAGAUAUCGGGAGGAAUACCAGUGGCGAAGGCGGCCUUCUGGACGGAUACUGACGCUGAGGCGCGAAAGCCAGGGGAGCAAACGGG